rnacentral:rRNA from 1 species
UAGGGAGUCUUCGGCGAUGGACGAAAGUCUGACCGAGCAACGCCGCGUGAGUGAAGAAGGUUUUCGGAUCGUAAAACUCUGUUGGUAGAGAAGAACGUUGGUGAGAGUGGAAAGCUCAUCAAGUGACGGUAACUACCCAGAAAGGGACGGCUAACUACGUGCCAA